rnacentral:rRNA from 1 species
UUAAGUUAUUAAGGGCGCACGGUGGAUGCCUUGGCACUAGAAGCCGAUGAAGGACGUUACUAACGACGAUAUGCUUUGGGGAGCUGUAAGUAAGCUUUGAUCCAGAGAUUUCCGAAUGGGGAAACCCAACAUGAGUUAUGUCAUGUUAUCGAUAUGUGAAUACAUAGCAUAUCAGAAGGCACACCCGGAGAACUGAAACAUCUUAGUACCCGGAGGAAGAGAAAGAAAAUUCGAUUCCCUUAGUAGCGGCGAGCGAAACGGGAAGAGCCCAAACCAACAAGCUUGCUUGUUGGGGUUGUAGGACACUCUAUACGGAGUUACAAAGGACGACAUUAGACGAAUCAUCUGGAAAGAUGAAUCAAAGAAGGUAAUAAUCCUGUAGUCGAAAAUGUUGUCUCUCUUGAGUGGAUCCUGAGUACGACGGAGCACGUGAAAUUCCGUCGGAAUCUGGGAGGACCAUCUCCUAAGGCUAAAUACUCUCUAGUGACCGAUAGUGAACCAGUACCGUGAGGGAAAGGUGAAAAGCACCCCGGAAGGGGAGUGAAAUAGAACCUGAAACCGUGUGCUUACAAGUAGUCAGAGCCCGUUAAUGGGUGAUGGCGUGCCUUUUGUAGAAUGAACCGGCGAGUUACGAUUUGAUGCAAGGUUAAGCAGUAAAUGUGGAGCCGUAGCGAAAGCGAGUCUGAAUAGGGCGUUUAGUAUUUGGUCGUAGACCCGAAACCAGGUGAUCUACCCUUGGUCAGGUUGAAGUUCAGGUAACACUGAAUGGAGGACCGAACCGACUUACGUUGAAAAGUGAGCGGAUGAACUGAGGGUAGCGGAGAAAUUCCAAUCGAACCUGGAGAUAGCUGGUUCUCUCCGAAAUAGCUUUAGGGCUAGCCUCAAGUGAUGAUUAUUGGAGGUAGAGCACUGUUUGGACGAGGGGCCCCUCUCGGGUUACCGAAUUCAGACAAACUCCGAAUGCCAAUUAAUUUAACUUGGGAGUCAGAACAUGGGUGAUAAGGUCCGUGUUCGAAAGGGAAACAGCCCAGACCACCAGCUAAGGUCCCAAAAUAUAUGUUAAGUGGAAAAGGAUGUGGCGUUGCCCAGACAACUAGGAUGUUGGCUUAGAAGCAGCCAUCAUUUAAAGAGUGCGUAAUAGCUCACUAGUCGAGUGACACUGCGCCGAAAAUGUACCGGGGCUAAACAUAUUACCGAAGCUGUGGAUUGUCGGUAACACUGAAUGGAGGACCGAACCGACUUACGUUGAAAAGUGAGCGGAUGAACUGAGGGUAGCGGAGAAAUUCCAAUCGAACCUGGAGAUAGCUGGUUCUCUCCGAAAUAGCUUUAGGGCUAGCCUCAAGUGAUGAUUAUUGGAGGUAGAGCACUGUUUGGACGAGGGGCCCCUCUCGGGUUACCGAAUUCAGACAAACUCCGAAUGCCAAUUAAUUUAACUUGGGAGUCAGAACAUGGGUGAUAAGGUCCGUGUUCGAAAGGGAAACAGCCCAGACCACCAGCUAAGGUCCCAAAAUAUAUGUUAAGUGGAAAAGGAUGUGGCGUUGCCCAGACAACUAGGAUGUUGGCUUAGAAGCAGCCAUCAUUUAAAGAGUGCGUAAUAGCUCACUAGUCGAGUGACACUGCGCCGAAAAUGUACCGGGGCUAAACAUAUUACCGAAGCUGUGGAUUGUACUUUGGACAAUGGUAGGAGAGCGUUCUAAGGGCGUUGAAGCAUGAUCGUAAGGACAUGUGGAGCGCUUAGAAGUGAGAAUGCCGGUGUGAGUAGCGAAAGACGGGUGAGAAUCCCGUCUACCGAUUGACUAAGGUUUCCAGAGGAAGGCUCGUCCGCUCUGGGUUAGUCGGGUCCUAAGCUGAGGCCGACAGGCGUAGGCGAUGGAUAACAGGUUGAUAUUCCUGUACCACCUAUAAUCGUUUUAAUCGAUGGGGGGACGCAGUAGGAUAGGCGAAGCGUGCGAUUGGAUUGCACGUCUAAGCAGUAAGGCUGAGUAUUAGGCAAAUCCGGUACUCAUUAAGGCUGAGCUGUGAUGGGGAGAAGACAUUGUGUCUUCGAGUCGUUGAUUUCACACUGCCGAGAAAAGCCUCUAGAUAGAAAAUAGGUGCCCGUACCGCAAACCGACACAGGUAGUCAAGAUGAGAAUUCUAAGGUGAGCGAGCGAACUCUCGUUAAGGAACUCGGCAAAAUGACCCCGUAACUUCGGGAGAAGGGGUGCUCUUUAGGGUUAACGCCCAGAAGAGCCGCAGUGAAUAGGCCCAAGCGACUGUUUAUCAAAAACACAGGUCUCUGCUAAACCGUAAGGUGAUGUAUAGGGGCUGACGCCUGCCCGGUGCUGGAAGGUUAAGAGGAGUGGUUAGCUUCUGCGAAGCUACGAAUCGAAGCCCCAGUAAACGGCGGCCGUAACUAUAACGGUCCUAAGGUAGCGAAAUUCCUUGUCGGGUAAGUUCCGACCCGCACGAAAGGCGUAACGAUUUGGGCACUGUCUCAACGAGAGACUCGGUGAAAUCAUAGUACCUGUGAAGAUGCAGGUUACCCGCGACAGGACGGAAAGACCCCGUGGAGCUUUACUGUAGCCUGAUAUUGAAAUUCGGCACAGCUUGUACAGGAUAGGUAGGAGCCUUUGAAACGUGAGCGCUAGCUUACGUGGAGGCGCUGGUGGGAUACUACCCUAGCUGUGUUGGCUUUCUAACCCGCACCACUUAUCGUGGUGGGAGACAGUGUCAGGCGGGCAGUUUGACUGGGGCGGUCGCCUCCUAAAAGGUAACGGAGGCGCUCAAAGGUUCCCUCAGAAUGGUUGGAAAUCAUUCAUAGAGUGUAAAGGCAUAAGGGAGCUUGACUGCGAGACCUACAAGUCGAGCAGGGUCGAAAGACGGACUUAGUGAUCCGGUGGUUCCGCAUGGAAGGGCCAUCGCUCAACGGAUAAAAGCUACCCCGGGGAUAACAGGCUUAUCUCCCCCAAGAGUUCACAUCGACGGGGAGGUUUGGCACCUCGAUGUCGGCUCAUCGCAUCCUGGGGCUGUAGUCGGUCCCAAGGGUUGGGCUGUUCGCCCAUUAAAGCGGUACGCGAGCUGGGUUCAGAACGUCGUGAGACAGUUCGGUCCCUAUCCGUCGUGGGCGUAGGAAAUUUGAGAGGAGCUGUCCUUAGUACGAGAGGACCGGGAUGGACAUACCUCUGGUGUACCAGUUGUCGUGCCAACGGCAUAGCUGGGUAGCUAUGUGUGGACGGGAUAAGUGCUGAAAGCAUCUAAGCAUGAAGCCCCCCUCAAGAUGAGAUUUCCCAACUUCGGUUAUAAGAUCCCUCAAAGAUGAUGAGGUUAAUAGGUUCGAGGUGGAAGCAUGGUGACAUGUGGAGCUGACGAAUACUAAUCGAUCGAAGACUUAAUCAA